CCAUUUACCAAGGUCUCACUUUGUACCAGGUGAUAUGGUAAGCCUUUUACAUACGAUGUCUCAUUUAAAUCCUUAUAAAGAUCCUGUUUUAUAGAUAAGGAAUAGGACUAGUUAAGUAACUUGUACCAAAUCACAGAGCUCACACAUUUACUUGGGACUUGAACCCACACCUCUUUUUCCUAGAAUAGUAACUCUUAACUAUCUGUACUUCCCUCCAGAUGUCCUUCCUAUGACUUCCCCUGGGGUGUGUUGAUUUUUUCAGGCCCUAGUUUUCUUUUGCUCUUCCUUUUCUUCUUGUAGGAAUCUCUCAUAUUUGCACAAAUCCCAAGGUCUAAGAAUACACUUUCAGCAUCUUAAAAUAUAAAUAAAAGAAGGAUUGGUCCACUUUCUGUUUGGGGUAACUUUUAAAGAAAAGAGGUUUAUUUUGGCUCACAGUCCUGCAGGCUGGGAAGUCUAAAAAUACCAGCUUCUGCUGAGGGUUCUGUCCUGCUUCAACUCAUGGUGGAAAGUGGAAAGGAGCCAGACAAAUAUGAAAGAGACAAAGAGGGAUGGACUUCCUUUUAAUCACCCGCUCUUGUGACUAAUCUAGUCAUGUGGGGGCAAGAGCGCACUCACUGGAAGAGGUCACGAAUCCAGUCAUGAUCCUCCACCCUUAGGACGCAAACAGCUUCCUCUACUCCAUGCUUGUGAUGCUGCUGCAUUGAGGGCCAUACUUCAGCCUUAGCUUUGGUGAGGACAGAACCCAUCCAAACCAUCGCAGGUGGCCUCACUUUAGAGAGAAGUUUUUUUCAUUCUGUUGAACAAAGCCUCAGCUACCGUAUGCAUUUAUUUUGUGAAAGGACCAAAAUUAACAGAGCUAUGUCUACAAUGGAUGUUUGAAGUGACACUGAGGUGGUUGUAAAGAAUGUGGGCAUUUUAGGCUGCAGACCUCGGUUACAGUCCUGCCUCUGCUUCCUCGAUGAGCAAUCACGAGCAGCAGCUUCUCAGCUCUUCUUGGUUCAUUUGCUUCUCUGUGAAGCAUGGCCAUCAUACCUACAGAUGCUGGAUACUCUGCCCGUAACGUGAAAAUGUUUUGGCCACUUAACAACACACAAGAAUUCUACCAUACUGUCAGUCUGAGAAAAACUUUGAUGCAUGAGAAAGAAGAUCUAGACCUGAGCCAAGUCUAACUCUUAUCUUGGUCUCGGAAUGGGCAAAUGCCCUCAGUGGGAAGGACUUGAG